rnacentral:rRNA from 1 species
AUUGAACGCUGGCGGCAGGCCUAACACAUGCAAGUCGAGCGGAUGAAGGGAGCUUGCUCCUGGAUUCAGCGGCGGACGGGUGAGUAAUGCCUAGGAAUCUGCCUGGUAGUGGGGGAUAACGUCCGGAAACGGGCGCUAAUACCGCAUACGUCCUGAGGGAGAAAGUGGGGGAUCUUCGGACCUCACGCUAUCAGAUGAGCCUAGGUCGGAUUAGCUAGUUGGUGGGGUAAAGGCCUACCAAGGCGACGAUCCGUAACUGGUCUGAGAGGAUGAUCAGUCACACUGGAACUGAGACACGGUCCAGACUCCUACGGGAGGCAGCAGUGGGGAAUAUUGGACAAUGGGCGAAAGCCUGAUCCAGCCAUGCCGCGUGCGUGAAGAAGGUCUUCGGAUUGUAAAGCACUUUAAGUUGGGAGGAAGGGCAGUAAGUUAAUACCUUGCUGUUUUGACGUUACCAACAGAAUAAGCACCGGCUAACCUCGUG